GUCGUAACAAGGUAGCCGUAUCGGAAGGUGCGGCUGGAUCACCUCCUUUCUAAGGAAAAACGGAAUGUACUUGAGUUUCUUAUUUAGUUUUGAGAGGUCUUGUGGGGCCUUAGCUCAGCUGGGAGAGCGCCUGCUUUGCACGCAGGAGGUCAGCGGUUCGAUCCCGCUAGGCUCCAUUGAAUCGAAAGAUUCAAGUAUUGUCCAUUGAAAAUUGAAUAUCUAUAUCAAAUUCCAUAUGUAAGUAAUUACAUGUAGAUAGUAACAAGAAAAUAAACCGAAACGCUGUGAAUAUUUAAUGAGUUAGGUCGAAAGGCCAAAAAUAAGGUUAAGUUAAUAAGGGCGCACGGUGGAUGCCUUGGC
rnacentral:misc_RNA from 1 species